rnacentral:tRNA from 1 species
UGGCAGGUGGGCAGCGCAGGUGCGCUCGAGCGGCUGCAGGCCGCACUGGCCGCGCCGGUGGCCGUGCCGUCUGCGGGCUCCGCGCCGGCCGUGCCUGC